GGGUGCAAGGGUGAUCUGGCUGUGACGUCUGUCACCUCAUUGAUCACCACAGUUGAUUUGGCUGAUCUAGCUGACUCUGUGGGGUUCCCCUUCCUCGCUCACCACUCCAUGCGCUUCUCUCCUGAAGCUGCGCACUUGGUUGAAGAGGACGACCUUCCCAGAUAGAGGAAGGCUAUUCUUUGGUCAAGGUAUAUGAAUAGAUGUGGUCCUCUGCUAGAAUCUCUAAACAAGCUCUCAUCUCAAGGGAGCCAGGUGAUCCUAGCUCUCAGGAGCCUG
rfam:Heterocephalus glaber contig188654, whole genome shotgun sequence.